rnacentral:rRNA from 1 species
GACGAACGCUGGCGGCGUGCUUAACACAUGCAAGUCGAACGGAAAGACCCUGCUUUUGUGGGGUGCUCGAGUGGCGAACGGGUGAGUAACACGUGAGUAACCUGCCCUUGACUUUGGGAUAACUUCAGGAAACUGGGGCUAAUACCGGAUAGGAGCUCCUGCUGCAUGGUGGGGGUUGGAAAGUUUCGGCGGUUGGGGAUGGACUCGCGGCUUAUCCGCUUGUUGGUGGGGUAGUGGCUUACCAAGGCUUUGACGGGUAGCCGGCCUGAGAGGGUGACCGGCCACAUUGGGACUGAGAUACGGCCCAGACUCCUACGGGAGGCAGCAGUGGGGAAUAUUGCACAAUGGGCGGAAGCCUGAUGCAGCAACGCCGCGUGCGGGAUGACGGCCUUCGGGUUGUAAACCGCUUUCGCCUGUGACGAAGCGUGAGUGACGGUAAUGGGUAAAGAAGCACCGGCUAACUACGUG